rnacentral:tmRNA from 1 species
GGGGCUGACUUGGAUUUCGACAGAUUUCUUGUCGCACAGAUAGCAUGCCAAGUGCUGCUUGUAAAACAGCAACAAAAAUAACUGUAAACAACGCAGAUUACGCUCCAGCUUACGCUAAAGCUGCGUGAGUUAAUCUCCUUUUGGAGCUGGACUGAUUAGAAUUUCUAGCGUUUUAAUCACUCCAUAACCUUAAGCUAGACGCUUUUAAAAGGUGGUUCGCCUUUUAAACUAAGAAACAAGAACUCUUGAAACUACCUCAAGGUUUUAGAAAGUUGGACCAGAGCUAGUUUUAAGGCUAAAAAACCAACCAAUUUUCUAAGCAUUGUAGAAGUUUGUGUUUAGGGCAAGAUUUUUGGACUGGGGUUCGAUUCCCCACAGCUCCACCA